UACGUAGGGUGCGAGCGUUAAUCGGAAUUACUGGGCGUAAGGCGCGUGUAGGCGGCUCGAUAAGUCUGCUGUGAAAGUCCAGGGCUCAACCCUGGGAUGCCGGUGGAUACUGUCGAGCUCGAGUCCGGAAGAGGCGAGUGGAAUUCCUGGUGUAGCGGUGAAAUGCGCAGAUAUCAGGAGGAACACCAAUGGCGAAGGCAGCUCGCUGGGACGUGACUGACGCUGAGACGCGAAAGCGUGGGGAGCAAACAGG
rnacentral:rRNA from 1 species